GAUGAAGAACGUAGCGAAAUGCGAUACGUAAUGUGAAUUUCAAAUUCAGUGAAUCAUCGAGUCUUUGAACGCACAUUGCGCCCCCUGGUAUUCCGGGGGGCAUGCCUGUCCGAGCGUCAUUGCUGCCCUCAAGCACGGCUUGUGUGUUGGGCCCCGUCCUCCGAUCCCGGGGGACGGGCCCGAAAGGCAGCGGCGGCACCGCGUCCGGUCCUCGAGCGUAUGGGGCUUUGUCACCCGCUCUGUAGGCCCGGCCGGCGCUUGCCGAUCAACCCAAAUUUUUAUCCAGGUUGACCUCGGAUCAGGUAGGGAUACCCGCUGAACUUAAGCAUAUCAAUAAGCGGAGGAU
rnacentral:misc_RNA from 1 species